rnacentral:snRNA from 1 species
GUGCUUGUUUCAGCGACACAUAUACUAAAAUUGGGAGGACACAGAAAAGAUUAGCAUGGCCCCUACACAAGAAUGACAUGCAAAUGUGUAAAGUGUCCCAUAUUUUU